AUCACCUAGGGAUCUUGUUGAAAUGCAGGUUCUGAUUCUGGGGGUCUGGGGUGGGGCCUGGGAUUCUGCAUUUUGAACAAGUUCCCAUGGAUGCCAG
rnacentral:pre_miRNA from 1 species